AUGUUCACAGAAACCUUGAUGCAAUUUUUCCUAGUUUCAAUCCUUUCAUUUUUUAACUUUUUAUUCUUUUAUAGGAAAACAACAACAAAAAAAAUGUCAAACUUUAUUGUCAAUAUAUAUUCUCAUCAACAAUCCGUUACUACCAUAUGCUAUUCCUCACUUUCUCAUAUCAGAUACAGAUUCAUUUCACUUAUAUGCACCAUUCAGAUAUUGCAUUGUUUGCUUUCUCAACCUCGUCCAUUUCACUCAUCUGCAGCAUUUUACUCAUCAGCUUUCAGGAUGAGUUCAUCUGAGGAUAAGCCAAUGAACACAAGAGACUUUCGUCAUGUGUAUGUAGGAAGAAGAAGAAAUACAACUGGUUCUUAA